GGUAAAUGUAAAUUGUCCGGUGGCAAUUUUUAUGAAUUGUUCAGCAGUCUAAUGGCUUGGGGAUAGAAGCUGUUAUUGCAGGAAAUGUCUUGAACAGCAGGAAAUGCAAACUUGUAGUGUAUUCAAGGUUUUAAAAGACUUCUAAAGUUUGUAAUUUCCACUUUAAAAUGUCAGACUUGAUUUGCCCAAGCAAAAAAAAUGUAGAGUAAUUAUAAUCCACAUUUCCUGUUGCUGCAUGAUUAUUUUCCUGCUGUAGCAAACUGACUGGAAUUAAGAUACGGCAUCUGUAUGAUAUUUCAACUUCCUUCUAGUUUCACCAGUAUUAUAAUUCUUACAGGCUUCCUUUCUAGGGAAAAACAGAACAAUGUCUGACCCGUUGACUCAGUGUUCUUGGCAGUGCUCUUUCUGGACAGAAAAACUAAUCCAAAAGACAUUUUUAAAACGUCAUCGCAGGACCUGACCGUAUCAGCAGACUAUUAGGCUGCUCGUCUUGGGGUUUGUCACCAAGGUCUGCGUCCUAUAUGACACCCUGUUACCUAAAAUAGUAAAACAGGAAAUGAUUACCCUGUAUUUGAUUCACUGUUGAUAUGGAUUGAUAUUUAAUAAACAUUAUAAACUGGGUGGAUCGAGCCCUGAAUGCCGAUUGGCUGACAGCCGUGGUAUAUCAUACUACGGGUAUGACAAAACGUGUGUUUUUACUGCUCUAAUCAUGUUGGUAACCAGUUUAUUAUAGCAAUAAGGCACCUCGGGGGUUAGUGGUAUAUUGGCUAUAUACCACACCCCCUCGUGCCUUAUUGCUUAGUUAUUGUAUGUACAGGGAGACACAGACCGAUGCAUUCGCUUAGGGGAAGGGAAGCAGCAGUUAACCAUGUCACCUGUUAGUCUAUAAUUCUCUAUUGUAACUAAGUGCUGAUGUUUCUACCUUUGACCUGUUUAACUGACACUAUCAAAAUGUCUGCCAGUGUUAUGGUUAAAGUUUGGCUCCAGACCGGGGACACUGAUAACGUCUCUGUAACACCGUGUGAUUCUGGAGAGGCUGACGUUGUGACUUCCUAUAGCCUCUCUGGCUGCUGUUUCCAUAACAUGUUGGUGCUGUGUGAUUUAUAUUUAUAUAUAUAUAUAAGAGAUUUUCUCAGAAAAGGCCCCGUUAAGACAUUUGCUCUGCUUCUGAUCUGGAGGCGUUUCCCUGUUGCAACUUGUAAUAAAAACAGGAAUCAUUUUUUUUUGUUAUUGAUGUUAUCAACUGCUCUCCUUUUUUAAUCAUCUGGAAAUCCCCUUUAAAAUAGUGCACUACUUUUAACUGAAACCCUAUGGGUCCUAGCUGGUCAAAUUAAGUGCACUAGAUAGGGAAUAGGAUGGCAUUUGGGACUCUAAAUGUCAGAGACAAGAAGCAGAGAAGGUCAAACUAGCAGAAGGUCUGUGACUGCUUCCUGCCCGUGAUGAUUAAAGGACAAAAUGCUGCUAUUCCCAUUCCUCCCCACUUCUUAGAACGAGAUAAAGAGAGAGAAAAUAACAGAGAGAGAGAGAGAAAAAGAAAUAGAGAAGAAAGAAAGAAUUAAACAACAAAGCAAAAUGCUUUUAAAAUGCCAAUGAGGAUGAGGUGGUACAGCCUAUAGAUUCUACAGUAGGUAAAGGAUGAGGUGGUACAGCCUAUAGAUUCUACAGUAGGUAAAGGAGGAGGUGGUACAGCCUAUAGAUUCUACAGUAUGUAAAGGAUGAGGUGGUACAGCCUAUAGAUUCUACAGUAGGUAAAGGAUGAGGUGGUAUAGCCUAUAGAUUCUACAGUAGGUAAAGGAGGUAAAGGAUGAGGUGGUACAGCCUAUAGAUUCUACAGUAGGUAAAGGAUGAGGUGGUACAGCCUAUAGAUUCUACAGUAGGUAAAGGAGG
rnacentral:lncRNA from 1 species